rnacentral:lncRNA from 1 species
AUUGGAAUUGGCAAUUGGGUGGAAUUGUUGAUUCAAAAGGCAUCUCUCCUGUGAGCAAGCAAUGCUAUGUGAGAGUUUCUUUCUCUCUGUUGUGAGUAUUUCUGUGAGAUCUUCUUCCAGGCUCUUCGGUGGCAUCGAUUCUAGCUUCGAUUGGGGUCGAGUGUUGUGUCAUCUUCUUCCUUUUCUCCUUCCUUUCUCCCUACAUCCAGUGGCGGAUCCACAGUGGGGUCAAUGGGGUCGCACGACCCCUUGGAAGCCAUGGAAACAACCUUAGAGACCCUUGGAGCUGCUGGUGCGACCCCUUGGCUGCACACCAAGUGUUCGACGAAAGGUCCGAAAGAAUUCUCGGCUGGGCAAGAGGAAGACGAAGGCGCAGGCGCGCGCCUGUUUUUUUUUUUUUAAAACCUGGGCAAAACGACGUCGUUUUGGCCCAGGAAUUUUUUUAAAAUGAUCUGAACAAAAAAAAAUGCCCAGCGUGUCCUGGGCAGGUCUGAACAGAAAAAAAAAUACCGACCGUGUCCUUUUCAGCCCUAUUUCACACAGAUUCGAAGCCUUUCAUUCCAAAACCCCCAAAUUUCUUUUGUUUUCUCCUCCUCCAACCCUAAGUUCCAAACUCAAUCCCCCCUAAACCCUCAACUCCAUCUCCUCCCUUGCUGUCGCCAUUAAGGUGCCUCCAACUCCAUCUCCUCCCUUGCUCCACCAGCUUUGCUCUUUGUAUUUGCUCAUUGUUAUUGUGAAAUUUCACAAUUCAAGUAAGUUUUUAUUUUCAUUAUUUUGUAUAUGUAGAAUGCAAGAUGAGAUAUUUAAUUUAAUUGAAAUCCAAUUCAUACUUAUUUUGAUUAUGUUGAUGGUUUGUUUAUAUUGUGAGUAUUUAUUUUGAAUAUUUUGUAUAUGUAGAAUAUAUUUAAUUUAAUUGAAAUUCAAUUCAUAUUUAUUUUGAUUAUAUUGAUGGUUUGUUUAUAUUGUGAGUUUUUAUUUUCAUUAUUUUGUAUAUGUAGGAUGCAAGAUGAGAUAUUUAAUUUAAUUGAAAUCCAAUUCAUAUUUAUUUUGAUUAUGUUGAUGGUUUGUUUAUAUUGUGAGUAUUUAUUUUGAAUAUUUUGUAUAUGUAGAAUAUAUUUAAUUUAAUUGAAAUUCAAUUCAUAUUUAUUUUGAUUAUAUUGAUGGUUUGUUUAUAUUGUGAGUUUUUAUUUUCAUUAUUUUGUAUAUGUAGAAUGCAAGAUGAGAUAUUUAAUUUAAUUGAAAUCCAAUUCAUAUUUAUUUUGAUUAUGUUGAUGGUUUGUUAUAUUGUGAGUAUUUAUUUUCAUUAUUUUGUAUAUGUAGAAUUAUUAUGGAACGGUUUUUUAAAAGAAAGUCAUCAUCGGGUUCGGGUAGUUCGAAUAAUGUUGAUAGUUCAAAUACUGUUGGUAGUUCAAGAACUCCAAAUUCAAGGCAAAGUCAGUUAGAUGAUGUUUUGGGUAAUCUUGAAGCGGAUCCUGGAUUGAGAACUCGAAUAAUAGAUUAUGAUGCUAAUAUGAGAGAUGAGGUCCGAAGAUCAUAUCUACAAAAAGGACCUUGUCAACCUAGAGGUCAUAAUUUCCCAAUAACUAAUAUGUCGGGAAUUAAUCGACGCUUCAUUCCCCAAUGGUUUGAUGAGUUUGAUUGGUUGGAGUAUAGUAUAUCUAAAGAUGCGGCAUUUUGUCUCUAUUGCUAUCUCUUUAAAACCAAUUUUGCACAAGUGGGUAGUGAAGCUUUCACUGGAGAUGGAUUUAAGACUUGGAAGAAAGGGAGAGAAAGAUUUAAGAUGCAUGUUGGACCGGUUGGGAGUGUUCAUAAUAAGGCUAGAGAAGCUGCUACAAAUUUGAUGAAUCAAGCUACACAUAUUGAAACGGCAGUGAGCAAACACUCUGACCAAGCUCGUAAGGCUUAUUGCACAUGCUUGAAUGCAUCAAUCAAGUGCACUAAGUUUUUAUUGCGGCAAGGUCUUCCUUUUCGUGGCCAUGAUGAAAGUGCCACUUCAAGUAAUAGGGGAAAUUACUUGGAGCUAUUGCAAUUCCUUGCAGAUAAUAAUGAUAAAGUUAGAGAAGUUGUGAUGGAAAAUGCUCCGGGGAAUCUGAGAUUAGUAGUUCCUAGCAUUCAAAAAGAAAUUGUGAAUUCAUGUGCCCUUGAAACACUUGAUGCUAUCAUGGAUGGUCUAAAAGAUAGAUUCUUUUCAAUAUUGGUGGAUGAAGCACGUGAUGUGUCGGUGAAAGAGCAAAUGGCUAUGGUGUUGCGUUAUGUGGAUGACAACGGGCAUGUAAUUGAAAGAUUUGUGGGUAUCCAACAUGUUACCAACACUACUUCAAGUUCACUAAUGGAUGCUAUUGACACAUUAUUUUCUCGCUGCGGUUUGAGCAUUUCCAAGCUACGAGGACAAGGUUAUGAUGGUGCUAGCAAUAUGAGAGGUGAGUUGAAUGACCUUAAAACAAAGAUAUUGAGAGAACAACCUUGUGCAUAUUAUGUUUCAUUGCUUUGCUCAUCAACUUCAACUAGCUCUUGUUGCCGUAGCAAAGAAGAAUAUAGACAUUGCCUCUUUUUUUGCAACGGCUAAUAGUGUGGUUAAUCAUGUUGGAGCAUCUUGUAAGCAGCGUGAUUUACUUAGAAAGCAACUUCAAGAAGAGCUUGUGAUAGCUUUUGAAAAUGAUUGUCUUAUAACGGGGCGAGGCUUAAAUCAAGAAACAAGUCUCAAACGUGCCGGUGACACACGAUGGAACUCACACUAUGGUACCUUGAUUAGCAUCAUUUCCAUGUUUUCAUCUGUGGUUCAUGUGCUUCAAAUGGUUAUUGAUGAUAAUCCCAAUGAAAGUGCGGGUGAAGCAAAUAAGUUAAUGAGAGAUAUACGUACUUUUGAGUUUGUGUUUCACCUUUUCUUGAUGAAAGUCAUAUUGGGACUCACAAAUGAUUUGUCACAAGCAUUGCAAAGGAAAGAUCAAGAAAUUGUGAAUGCAAUAACUUUAGUGAAAUCAUGCAAGGAAAGGCUACAUUGGAUGAGGAAUAAUGGGUUUGAUGCAUUGGUUGAUGAAGUAUCUUCUUUUUGUGAAAAACAUUAUAUUGAUAUUCCUAACAUGGAAGAGGCAUUUAUACUUCCAGGGAGGUCAAGGCGUAAUGCUCCAAUAAAGACAAAUCGUCAUCAUUAUUGUGUGGAGCUCUUUAUUUAUGUCAUUGAUGAGCAAAUUACGGAGUUAGAGGAUUGCUUUAAUGAGGUAAAUACAGAGUUGCUUAUUUGUUUGGCAUGUUUGAGUCCGAAAGAUUCAUUUGUAGCUUUUGAUAAACCAAAGUUACUUCGUCUUGCUCAAUUUUAUCCUCAAGACUUUUCGGAUGAGGAUCAUUUGGCACUUGAAGAUCAACUUGAGAUUUUUAUUCAUUAUGUGCGUUCCAGUAGUGAUUUCUCUCAAUUGGAAGGGAUUGGUGAUCUUGCAAAAAAAAUGGUGGAGACAAGGAUGCAUCAAGUAUUCAACUAUGUAUAUUUGCUCAUUACAUUGUCUUUAGUUUGACCAGUUGCAACUGCUUCAGUGGAGAGAGCUUCUGUCAUGAAUAUUGUUAAGGGUCCACUUAGGAACAAAAUGGGAGAUCAAUGGUUGAGUGAUAGCUUGCUUGUUUUAUUUGAGAGAGAUAUUUUUGCUUGUAUUGAAAAUGAAGCUAUAAUGCUUCGUUUUCAAAAUAUGAAACCUCGUCGUGGACAAUUAUAGCUUGUAAUAUUGUUUCCGUUAUGAAUUAUGAAUGAAACUACUAUGAUUUCAUUUUCAAAAUGUUUUUCCAUCCUAAAUUUUUUUUUGAACUUUUACAUUAUGACCCCUUGUGGUAAGAUUCCUGGCUCCGCCACUGCCUACAUCUACUGUUGGUUCUCCCCAAUUUUCAAUUCGGCCUUUUCAAUUCCUCCAACUUUGUGGGUUCUCUUCUUCCUGAUUCUUCCUUACUUUGUUUUUCAACCAUGUCUUUUGUCGAGAUCUUGUGUAGAGUUCCGGCGCUUGGACCGGCUCGAGUUUGUUCCACACCACCAUGUUCUCCAUUGUGUUUGCUGCUUGCGGCAGUGUUGCUCGGGACUUGUUCUGAGCUUCCAACUGGUGAUUGGCCUCUCUCGCUUGGAUGCCAGUUACCCAUAACUUAUGGUUGUGCGCAUGAGACGUCAGUGAAGAAGAUGAUUGGCGAUUGUCGGGGAAUCGGAUGGUUGACAAUUCCUUGGAUCGUCGGUGGAGAAGGCAGUGAUGCUUCUAAGAUGUUCUUAGGUUUUGGGCUCAUUUUCUGUUUUUGUUGUUUUCUUUCUGUUUAGGCCCUUUUUGGUUGUGUAUAGGUGUAGUUGGAC